UACGGAGGGUGCGAGCGUUGUCCGGAAUCAUUGGGCGUAAAGGGCGCGUAGGUGGCCCGGUCAGUUCGUGGUGAAAGCGCGGGGCUCAACCCUGCGUCGGCCAUGAAUACUGCCGCGGCUGGAGCACUGUAGAGGCAGGCGGAAUUCCGGGUGUAGCGGUGGAAUGCGUAGAGAUCGGGAGGAACAUCAGUGGCGAAGGCGGCCAUCUGGAUCAACACUGACGCUGAGGCACGAAAGCGUGGGGAGCAAACAGG
rnacentral:rRNA from 1 species